UACGUAGGCAGCAAGCGUUGUUCGGAGUUACUGGGCGUAAAGGGUGCGUAGGCGGCUUUUUAAGUUUGGUGUGAAAUCUCCCGGCUCAACUGGGAGGGUGCGCCGAAUACUGAGAGGCUAGAGUGUGGGAGAGGAAAGUGGGAAUUCCUGGUGUAGCGGUGGAAUGCGCAGAUAUCAGGAGGAACACCGGUGGCGAAGGCGGCCCGCUGGGCAGUGGCUGACGCUGAGGCGCGACAGCGUGGGGGAGCAAACAGG
rnacentral:rRNA from 1 species